rnacentral:lncRNA from 1 species
AUGAAACAGGAUUUGGAGCCACUCUGUCUGCUAUGCUGUCUUUGGUCUUGUCCAAUAAAUGAUGUUUCCAAUAACUCAUUUAAAUUGCCAGCUCUUCUGGGCAAAGCACCAGUCAUUAUGAUCAUCUUUAAGAUUCUGUGGGACCUAUCUGUCCAGAAGGUUCACUGGAUCCCUCUACUACAAAAGAAAGAAUAUCAGUGUGAAUGCUGGAGUUGUCUCUCAAAAGUUGACAAGAGACUAUUUUUGGGAACAAGAAUCAUCUGAAGACGUCUCUUUGCUUACAGUAACCACUACAUCAUGUUAAUAGCACAUCAUUAGGUUAUAUAAUUUGUGUUUCAGUCAUCUGCAAGGAUUUAGUAUGAUGCCUCUCUGUCCCAGAAUGACAGAAACACAAACUGUACCAAUUGUGCCAGCAAGAAACUGUCAGUUUUGUGUUUCUAGGAACAUCCUGGACUCAAGCCCUUACAUCUGCUUAUCAUCCUUAUCUCCAACUUUAUUUCAUAAUUUAAUGCCUCUUUACAGAGUGUUUAAUCUAUAUAAAGGCACAAAUUUUACACCAGAAUAUGAUGUGCCAGUCUUCUCUGUAUGCCUCUCCUCUUCCUUCGGUUUAAAAUCUACUUGAUUUGACUUUUCUCUACAUGGUGACUAUUUUUUUUUUCUCAAAAACAAAACAAAACCAGAAAACAGAAGAUUGACCCACUAAAAAGAAUCUUCUCUGAAUAGAGCCUGCCAGGAGAAGGAACCUAUGUCAAUUUGAGUGUUACUUGAUAGUAACCUUACAGUUUGGCUACAACCGCACUCAGUGUACAAUGCCAAUUCGAGGCUGUUCUUUGAAUAAGCACUGAAGUAGAUCUCUGGGUUCUAUGCAUUGCCUCUACCCUCCAGUUUUGAUUAGAAAUGCAGUAAUAAUUUAGGCUGCUAUGACUGUUAUUUAAGCACACAGAUUAUCUUCACUUCUCUCUAGAUGAAUGCACAUAAUCACUUUUCUCUUUGACUGUGCUUUCAGACUGUACUUCUGUACUUCUGUACUUAUCACCAUAUUAAACCAGUAAACAAGGUGUGAUGUCUGUCAUUCCUUUUCUUCCAGGCAAAGGAAGCUACUAGAGCAAGCCCGAUUCCCUAGAAUUAGUUUGUUAUUCCCUCUCACCAAAAUACAUGGAAUUCUGAGAAUAAAAUGUAUAUAGAAAAAACA